UACGUAGGCAGCGAGCGUUGUUCGGAGUUACUGGGCGUAAAGGGUGUGUAGGCGGUUUUCUAAGUUUGGUGUGAAAUCUCCCGGCUUAACCGGGAGGGUGCGCCGAAAACUGGGAGACUAGAGUGCGGGAUGGGAGAGUAGAAUUCCUGGUGUAGCGGUGAAAUGCGUAGAUAUCAGGAGGAAUACCGGUGGUGUAGACGGCUCUCUGGACCACAACUGACGCUGAGACACGAAAGCGUGGGUAGCAAACAGG
rnacentral:rRNA from 1 species